rnacentral:rRNA from 1 species
CCUACGGGGCGCAGCAGUAGGGAAUCUUCCACAAUGGGCGAAAGCCUGAUGCAGCCAUGCCGCGUGGGUGAAGAAGGUCUUCGGAUUGUAAAACACUGUAGUUUGAGAGGAAGGGGCGUGAGUUAAUAUUUUGCUGUUUCGACGUUACCUAAACAGUAAGCCCCGGCUAACUAUGCGCCAGCAGCCGCGGUAAUACAGAGGGGGCAAGCGUUAAUCGGAAUUACUGGGCGUAAAGCGCGCGCAGGCGGUUUGUUAAGUUGGAUGUGAAAUCCCCGGGCUCAACCUGAGAACUGCAUUCAAAACUG